CCGAGGUCGCCGAUCUUGACGGUGCCCUGGUGGCCGUUGACGAACACGUUGUCGCACUUGAGGUCGCGGUGGAUGACGGGGGGGUCGUGGGCGUGGAGGUAGGCGAGGCCCCGGAGGAUCUGGCGCGCCCAGCCGCGGACGGCGCGGAGGCUGACGCGCGGGUACCGGAGGCGGUACGCGCGGAGGGUGCCGGAGGAGAAGAGCUCGGUGAUGAAGUUGAAAGUGCGGCGUGGGGCGCCACCGGCGCAGCCGCCGCGCGGGGACGGGGAGGAGACGGAGACCCACGAGGCGUGGAAGGCGAUGAUGGCGUCGUGGCGGAGCGUGCUGAGGAGGUGGACCUCGGAGUACAUGCGCUGCAGCGCGUCGGGGG
rnacentral:lncRNA from 1 species